rnacentral:rRNA from 1 species
CUUGACAUACAUGAGAGGUCCAGCCUGCCCAGUGACUAAGUUCAACGGCCGCGGUAUCCUAACCGUGCGAAGGUAGCGUAAUCACUUGUUCUUUAAAUGAGGACUAGUAUGAAUGGCACCACGAGGGUUGUACUGUCUCCUUUUUUUAAUCAAUGAAACUGAUCUCCCCGUGAAGAAGCGGGGAUAAAAAUAUAAGACGAGAAGACCCUAUGGAGCUUUAAACAAUUAUAGCACUGGCCCACAUCUCCUAUUCUUCUGAGAUAUAACUAUUAUACAGGCCAACAUGACUAUUAGUUUUAGGUUGGGGUGACCGCGGAGCAAAAACCAACCUCCACGUUGAACGGAGCUAUUCCUGAGCUAAAAACUACAACUUUAAGCACCAAUAAACUGACAUUAAUUGACCCAACAUGUUGAGCAACGAAC